rnacentral:rRNA from 2 species
AUAAUGCAGUCGACGACUCUGGUAUUGAUUGGUGCUUGCAUCAUGAUUUACAUUUGAGUGAGUGGCGAACUGGUGAGUAACACGUGGGAAACCUGCCCAGAAGCGGGGGAUAACACCUGGAAACAGAUGCUAAUACCGCAUAACAACUUGGACCGCAUGGUCCGAGUUUGAAAGAUGGCUUCGGCUAUCACUUUUGGAUGGUCCCGCGGCGUAUUAGCUAGAUGGUGGGGUAACGGCUCACCAUGGCAAUGAUACGUAGCCGACCUGAGAGGGUAAUCGGCCACAUUGGGACUGAGACACGGCCCAAACUCCUACGGGAGGCAGCAGUAGGGAAUCUUCCACAAUGGACGAAAGUCUGAUGGAGCAACGCCGCGUGAGUGAAGAAGGGUUUCGGCUCGUAAAACUCUGUUGUUAAAGAAGAACAUAUCUGAGAGUAACUGUUCAGGUAUUGACGGUAUUUAACCAGAAAGCCACGGCUAACUACGUGCCAGCAGCCGCGGUAAUACGUAGGUGGCAAGCGUUGUCCGGAUUUAUUGGGCGUAAAGCGAGCGCAGGCGGUUUUUUAAGUCUGAUGUGAAAGCCUUCGGCUCAACCGAAGAAGUGCAUCGGAAACUGGGAAACUUGAGUGCAGAAGAGGACAGUGGAACUCCAUGUGUAGCGGUGAAAUGCGUAGAUAUAUGGAAGAACACCAGUGGCGAAAGCGGCUGUCUGGUCUGUAACUGACGCUGAGGCUCGAAAGUAUGGGUAGCAACAGGAUUAGAUACCCUGGUAGUCCAUACCGUAACGAUGAUGCUAGUGUUGGAGGUUUCCGCCCUUCAGUGCUGCAGCUACGCAUAGCAUUCGCUGGG